CAAAGUUCCAAAGAGCUCGACGCAACUUUCACCUGUUAACGCUCUUUGCUCAGCCAUUUUCACGAUCGAAACCAUGUUAGAACAGUGCAGGUCUUCGCGCAGCAGAUUCAAAAGUCAAAGCGGCACAGGAAGCAACAAUAUCGCGAAAUUACACCAAAAUAUCUAGGUGGGUAUGAUUCAAUGUACAAUGAACAUUGUAAUCAAUUCGUGAAACUGCGAGGAGAGGAAUUUUUCAAUUUCUGAAUCAGAGGGCAAACAGCAGUUAGAAUAAUUAGGGAAUGAAACUCAUGUUCGAUUCCGGUGGACAGGUAGGUACACCUUCAUAUGUCAAAAGUUGAAGUUCAGUAAAAAUUUACUUACCAAUAAAAUGUAGUUGGCGUUAUUCAAUAAAAUAUAACCUGGGUUAUAACUCUAAACGUUAUAACACCAGGAUAGCACAGGAUAUUUGCAGCACUGACAAAUAAUAAAUCGGUGAAAACUGUUUGAACGCCAGUGGGCUGGGCACGUAAACAACUUACAACUUCUACAAUACAACACGACAGCUACGAAACAGGUUUGUUGAAUAGGGACGCAUCGCAUCCAACCGCAGAACGUAUACGGUGGAUAUUUUAAAAUAGUCCCUCGCCUAGCCGAUUGACCGAUUUUAGGUACUUCCUUCAGUAUCAAUUAUUUCCAUUUAUACUCAAUAAGUUUAUAAUUGAAAAUUAUUCAAUAUGUUAUAAAGUUUGUAUUAAUUAAGAGGCACGUCAUCGUUUACAAAUUUUUAUGAAUAAACGUACGACAGACGUCAGUCUCGCUAAUAGUAAUCCUACGCACCGUGUAAAUCAAG
rnacentral:misc_RNA from 1 species